rnacentral:rRNA from 1 species
UACGUAGGGAGCGAGCGUUGCCCGGAAUUACUGGGCGUAAAGGGCGCGUAGGCGGGAACUUAAGUUAGAUGUGAAAACUCCGGGCUUAACCUGGAGACUGCAUUUAAAACUGGGUUUCUUGAGGGCAGGAGAGGAAAGUGGAAUUCCUAGUGUAGCGGUGAAAUGCGUAGAUAUUAGGAGGAACACCAGUGGCGAAGGCGACUUUCUGGACUGUACCUGACGCUGAGGCGCGAAAGCAUGGGGAGCGAACAGG